rnacentral:rRNA from 1 species
CCGGGCGACCGGCGCACGGGUGAGUAACACGUAUGCAACCUGGCCGUGACAGAUGGAUAACCGGGAGAAAUCCCGCCUAAUACAACAUAAUGCCGGGAGGGGACAUCCCCUGCCGGUCAAAGGGGGCGACCCCGGUCAUGGAUGGGCAUGCGGCGCAUUAGGUAGUUGGUGGGGCAACGGCCCACCAAGCCGACGAUGCGUAGGGGUUCUGAGAGGAAGGUCCCCCACAUUGGAGCUGAGACACGGUCCAAACUCCUACGGAAGGCAGCAG